rnacentral:lncRNA from 1 species
AUUCAUAGGUUAUGUCAUAUUUUAAUUUUAACCCUUAAAUAUCCGCGCAGGUUGAUUUGGAGUCUGGUGCGUAAUGCGUAAAGUUAGCCUUUUUCUCACAGGGGACAUUUUUUGGACACUGGUCAGUCUGUGCGUCGAUCUGACAGCAACACACGGUUUAGAUUUCAUUUAUUGGCCAAAGUCACCAAGAUGUUUCUGUUUAAGGACAGGAGGGCUCCCUCUGCUGGUGAGGAAGAGAACCUGCACAGAUAGAAAAAGCUCCUGAACGUCGUCCCCUGCGGAUUGGAGUUUCCUCCACCUUCUCUGAUUCUCCAGGUUCCUUCUCUACCUCUUCAGUAGUUCGUGAUGAUCGUCCCCUGCGUGGUGUUUUGACCUCCACAGCCUUCUCCUGAUCAGCCUCCUGUAUCUGUAAAACAGUUUGUCAAUAAGUAAUAGUCUAUUUUUACCACAUUGUUUUAAACACACAAAGUACUUUCUGCUGUAAUGGGGUCUCACAAUCAAAUCAAUAAAAGACACCAUAGUGGAUGACAUUGACUUUGUGGUGUGAGAUUAUAAGAGAUGUUUUCAGCACCAACUGAAAACUAAAUAAUGGUGGUGUUUUAUAUGUAUGUUCUUAUUUUAGUGUUUUAUGUAUGGGUUUGGUACUGAUUCUUAUUGUGUUUUAUGUAUAUUUUUAGUUUGGAUGUAUGGCUGUAAUGUCUAUUUUGUGUAACUUCUGCUGCUGUCUUAGCCAGGACACUCUUGAAAAAGAGAUUUUUAAUCUCAAUGAGGUUUUUUCUGGUUAAAUAAAGGUUAUAAUAUUAAAGAAUUAUAAUUGAUUUCAAAUUAUGUUUAAUGAUGCAUAUUCACAUUACAUAAUUAAAUUCUAAAGAAAGAGCAACAAAAUUUAACCUAACUAAAGGGGAUGUGAGUUCACCGAUUGUUGGCCAAAUAAAACAUAUUAUUAAACGGAAUACGAUUACAGAUUUCUCUUCAUUUCAGUUACUGGAACCAUUUGAUGUUACAGAGACC